rnacentral:rRNA from 1 species
AGUGAACGCUGGCGGUAGGCCUAACACAUGCAAGUCGAACGGCAGCACAGUAAGAGCUUGCUCUUACGGGUGGCGAGUGGCGGACGGGUGAGGAAUACAUCGGAAUCUACUUUUUCGUGGGGGAUAUCGUAGGGAAACUUACGCUAAUACCGCAUACGACCUACGGGUGAAAGCAGGGGAUCUUCGGACCUUGCGCGAUUGAAUGAGCCGAUGUCGGAUUAGCUAGUUGGCGGGGUAAAGGCCCACCAAGGCGACGAUCCGUAGCUGGUCUGAGAGGAUGAUCAGCCACACUGGAACUGAGACACGGUCCAGACUCCUACGGGAGGCAGCAGUGGGGAAUGUUGGACAAUGGGCGCAAGCCUGAUCCAGCCAUACCGCGUGGGUGAAGAAGGCCUUCGGGUUGUAAAGCCCUUUUGUUGGGAAAGAAAAGCAGCAGGUUAAUACCCCGCUGUUCUGACGGUACCCAAAGAAUAAGCACCGGCUAACUUCGUG